AACAGUACUCCCCACCCACCCACCUCCCAAAGGGCAGGGAAGCAGAGAGAGCAGAACCUGGAUGCCGACCUGUUGAUUUCUUGGUGCCUUGAAGCUGAGCAGGUGUCACGGGUGAGGUGGCUAUGCUUGGAGUCUGGAUUUGAGUCACUUAGUGCCACGAGGAAGCCACAAUCUGGCCCAUAGGGCCUCCCACACGCCUUGGGUGGUCAGCCAUGGGCUGCUUGCCAUGCCUUGGGCUGCCCCGGGAGCUGCACCCAAGGGGAAACCUUGCUCUUUUGCUCACAGAAGAGAUCCUGAGAAAGCGGAACUCUGAGCAAGCUUCGAGUAGUAUCAGAGGGAAGCCAGACGGUGUGGGUACUUCCUCGCACUUCCCCGACUGGAAAAAUCCGACAAGUCGAAGAAUUACUUGAAGCCAUUUCUUUCAUUUCAUAAACUACCUCUGUUAGACGUUUGUUGACGUCUGUUGGUUACUUUUUGCUGGUUAUUUUUUGCUGCUUAUUAAUUUCUGUUCUCAGAACCCUCGCGACUAAAUCAUGGGCCGAGGAGGAAGCGGAUUCUUUAAGACAGAAUUAAAUGAAGUGGAACUUUUCCUUUUUGUAUUUUGUAAGAAAAGAUGAGAUAUUUAACCUUUUAGGACACGUCACCAGUUGAGGAACGCUGAGGAACACUCAGUGUACCUUUAAGAGCUGAACUGGAAAGGUUCUGGUACAGCUAGUCCUCGUUAGUAUAGUGGUGUUCACCAUACAAACACCUCAGACGUGAUUAUAACAGGAGGUAUUACAGUCAAUCCUAAAGGAAAUCAGCCCUGAAUAUUCACUGGAAGGACUGAUGCUGAAGCUGAAGCUCCAAUACUUUGGCCACUUGAUGUGAAAAACUGACUCAUUAGAAAA